GAUUAACGCUGGCGGCGUGCAUAACACAUGCAAGUCGAACGAUGAAACUUAACUGAUUUCUUCGGAAUGAUUUUAAGUGGAUUAGUGGCGGACGGGUGAGUAACGCGUGAGUAACCUGCCUUGGAGAAGGGGAUAGCCUUUGGAAACGAAGAAUAAUACCCUAUGAUAUGAUAAUAUCUCAUGAUAUUAUCAUCAAAGAUUUAUCGCUCUAAGAUGGACUUGCGUCUGAUUAGUUAUUUGGUGAGGUAACAGCUCACCAAGGCAGCGAUCAGUAGCCGGCUUGAGAGAGUGUACGGCCACAUUGGGACUGAGACACGGCCCAGACUCCUACGGGAGGCAGCAGUGGGGAAUUUUGCACAAUGGGGGAAACCCUGAUGCAGCGACGCCGCGUGAUUUAGAAGGCCUUCGGGUUGUAAAAAUCUUUUGUAUGGGAAGAAAAUGACAGUACCAUACGAAUAAGGACCGGCUAAUUACGUG
rnacentral:rRNA from 1 species